rnacentral:rRNA from 1 species
AACGAACGCUGGCGGCAUGCCUAACACAUGCAAGUCGAACGAGACCAUCGGGUGUAGUGGCGCACGGGUGCGUAACGCGAGGGAACCUGCCCGUAGGUUCGGAAUAACUCACCGCGAGGGGAGCUAAUACCGGCUGAAGUCCUCGGACCAUAGAUUUAACGCCGUUGGCUGGGCCCGCGUUGGUUUAGCUAGUUGGUAGCGUAAACGCUUACUAAGGUUGCGAUCCAUAGCUGGUCUGGGAGCAUCAUCAGCCACACCUGGAGUGAGACACGGCACAGACUCCUACGGGCUGGACCAGUGUAGACUAUUGGCCACCGGGCCAACGCCUGUUGCAGCAAUGCCGCGUGAGUGGUUAAUGCCUUAGGGUUGUAAAGCUCGUUUUCCCGUGAUUAUAAUGACCGUACCGGGAGAAUAAGCCCCGGCUAACUCCGUG